UCAUCCUCGAGAGGGAACAAAAAAGUGGCUAUUUAUUAGAAUACUUGUUUUGUAUUGUUCCGCGUCACACAAAAGGGGCUUUAUUAUUGUGUAGUGAGUGGUGGGACUGGGAGCUGGGUAUGGCUGGCCUUGGCACACUAAGUGUAGAUUUUAGCAAGGAUGGCGAACUGGCGAUUGGCUAUGGCUGGGUUAGGACAAGCGAUAGAGAACGGGACGAUUGUGAGAGACUCUGCUGGAAUUUGGCAGGCCCGAUGCUUGGAGAGGCGCCCCACGCUGUGACUCCCAUUCAGCGGUCCAGCGCGCUGUGAGGUUGGAAAGUUUCACUGAGCCGUGCACUCAAUGGCUCCACAAAGCUGAUUACAAGCCCCAGCGAAUUCCUGAAGGGACCGGGCAGCCACGCAGGUGUGCGGGAAACCGGGGCAACCCUUCAGAUUUUAUUGACAGCACAAGGCAGCCGGGGAGACCACACAAAAUGCAAAAGCAUCCCGGGAAGCGGUCAGCGAUUUGGUGGGAAAAUAGCACCUUUAAGGCCUUUCAGAUGCGCGAAAAAUUAUGGAGAAAAGUUCAGAUGGUCUAUUAAAACGAAGCCCAAUCUCAUCAGGACUCUAAAGUAAAAUGUCAAAGACUGGGCUAUAUAGCAACAGGGUGUUAAUUCUUGCCAUAUGCAUUCUGAUUUUUCCCAUCAUCUAGUGUCUCAUGUUUACGACGCAAGAUUGGGGUUCAGGGUUAACGACGAUUCAUAAAACGUGAUGGCUCGCUCUCCCUCACUGUGCGCAAUUCAUUCUCCUUGGUGCGAAAAAUCUACAUCAAUGAAGCAGACAGCGUAUUUAAUUAGAGCGGAGUCUAACUAUCAAUUACUCAGGAAAAACACAGGAUCCCUAAGGACCGGUAAUCAGCGCGCCAACAGUCGGCCGAGCGCUCAUUACAGCAAAGCGACAGGCGGGAAUAAUAAUCAGGGCGCGGCGACGCAUCUGCCUAUUUCCACCGCUUCCUGUUGCCUCUGAAGUUUAAUAACUCGUUAUUUUUACUCAGUAUUGCCACUAGUUGCUCUUUGUGUCCAGUAUUACAUUUUUCAAUUAGAUUUUUACUGAGAAAGGUCUACUGUAGCCUAUUUUGAGUGUCCGAAUACCAUUUGAGCACAUGCUACAGUGUUUUCCUCCAACAUUUAGGUGCAAUUUAAAUGAGGGCUCAGUCCUACUUUACGCGGCUAAUUUAAUCCUCCGCAGAGUCAACAAGGGCUAAUUGAGAUCAGCGGGGCGCAAACACCCUUUCAAAAUCAAUUUCUCCCCGUGCCCCCGAUUGUCCCUCCCCAAGUCGUUGCGGUUGGCCUUUGGGACUAAGAAGUAACCAUAUUGUUGUAGAUCAGAACUAUUUUGGCUUUGACUCCUGAAUUAUACUAAUGGCAGAGGUCUUGAAACGUGUUUCAGUUCCCAUGCUUUGCCUAAUAAAUAUGCUAUAAAUCUAUUCCUGUCUUGGCCUCACCUGUGUCCUGUCACCCCUGCUGUCCUCGUGUGAUUAGGGGACAAAAGCACUUACCCGGGCCGGCUAUGGUAGUCAAUCAAGCACAACGGACUAUGCUAAUUGAGGGGAAAGGCGAAAGGAAGACGAACAGUGAUCCCAAUUGUUCGGCGAAUUUCACAGCUCAGCACAGCUGCAAUGCUACUGUUCCUCUAAUACACUCUCCCUUUAAGUGUAACACACAGCGCUACUGUAAGCCAAAGUCUAUGUGAACAGAAAAUGAGUUUGAAAUGCUCACAGUUUUCCCACAGAAGUUGAUAUUUUAGAACUGUGGCCCAAACUGUCGCAUAGUUGCCUAGAUAAACGACACUUGACUGUACCUCCAAGUUUUUGAGGAGCUGUCCAGGUGCUGAAAUGAACGCGCAACGUACGUGGACUCUGAGGGACAAUAAAGUCUUUAAAAACUUUUAUUUUUUUUCUUUCUCUUGGUUUCUUUAAUCUUAUUUUCACGGGCGCAAAUUGAAUGAGUGUUGUCAAGAUAAAUGAUCGAAUUUAAAAAUUGAAUAAUUCAAUAAUAAUUAAAUAUUUACAACAAGCGUGUGUCUAUUACAGGCUCAAGCUCAAAGGUUAUGGGUUCAACUCCCAGAAAAUGUACAUUCACAAAAAAAUAAUGCAUGGCAUUAUUGCACUGUAAGUAAGCUUUGGAUAAAAGUGUCUGCCAAUGCUAAUGCUUUGUAAUGAUUUGUACACAAAUUGUAUCAUAUUGUGACAGUGUGUGUACAGUUAUGUUAGCAAGAAUGUAUCAAUUAAUUUAUGCACAUUUUAAGAAGUUAAUUUCAUUAUUUAUUUGAUUCUUAGCCAUCCAUUAAUUUUUAUUGCUUGGCUGUUUCUUUUUUAUCAGAAAAAAACAACAACAACAACUUACAGCACAUAUACAAAAAGAAUGACAACUUUAACUGUAAAUUACUUUUUUCUCGCAUCUAGUUUGACCCAUCUCACAAGGUGCCCUUCUUCUCUGCAGGGGUCAGAAAAUAGGCCUGAGAAUUGUUUGUGUUUUACCGCUGCUGGAGUCCCAUUGUGCUUGUGUAUUUUGUGAUGGGAUAAACUUUGACUGUGUCUGAUUGUGUUGCUUUUACAUUUGAAAAAGGGAGAGAUAGAGAGACAGAAAAACAACAAUAAAAGAAGUUGAUGUUUAUGGAUUGGUCAUUGAUUUUGUUGGUCCUGGCUGUAUGGGCCCUGUUUUAAUAAAGACAGGAGAAGAUGUGGAAACGUGUACAGCAACACAGUCAAGAGCAGUAAAAGUGGAUGGAGUCCGCGUGGACAGUUAGUGACAGUUGGAGUAGCUGCCCUGAGGACUGCGUGACAGAUUGGGGGCAGCAGGGUUAUGAGUGAUAAUGACACACCCUACUGAGUGUUAUUACAUAAAGACAGCAUUGGGCUGAAAUAACAUUGUAAUGGGAUGGUGCUUUUUGCCACGUUUUCACUGUCACUCAGCAACUUGCUUCUCGCUUCUGUAGCCCCCCCUUGUUCCUCGGUUGUUCCUUUCCUUUCUUUCUUACAUGCAUUACAGAGGCUCACUUUUAUGCAUGCAUAGGUUUCUGGCAAAUUUUGUGCAUAAUGUUUUGUUCUUUCUCUGACACUGGAAAAGCUUAUGUGUACUGUAUGAGCUUCAGUGCACCUUUUUUUUUUUACGUCUGAACACAUGGCCCGUCUGGCUCAGAGCAAGGCUGGGACUUAACAGCAAGCUUUAAUGACAUCCAUGUAUAUAUGUUGUACACUUCCGACACUAGUUUUUGCCUUUAGGAUACAUUAUCAGAAAAAAAUUAUAAGGCUUUAUUAACAAAAAGAUCUACCUGAUUGGAUGAGUUGUACUGUAUACUGCAUAUACUGUAGAUUUGGUUUAUGUGUCUUUGAAUGUGUUGAAAGUCGGCAAAGACGAGCGCCUGGUGUGAAUAAUGUUGCACUUAUAUGGAGAAUAAUGAGCUGCUUUCUCUCUAAUUGUUUCAGACCUUAGGUAUGGAUGGACUCCCUGUGUUCAUAUACAAAGGUUUGUUAGACCUGUGGUUACUUUUCUUGAAAAUGUAUUUAAAGAGACCUUGGUUCGUAGGCAGUGCCUGCAGAUUUACCUCUCUGUGUGUUUUAUUUAUGUAAUGACUGUUAAUUUUAUUCUUUUAUUCUAACUUUUUUUUUAACUAUAAUUUUUAACUUUUUACUAAUAUUUUUGCUUAUCUAGCCAUUCUGUCAUUUUUAUCUAGUGAUGUAGUACUCAAAUCCGAUGUCAGACUCUUCUCGGACUCGUUCCUUCAAAGACUCGGUCUCGGAUAUGAGAAGGACUCGUAAUUUCAGAUUAAGUUCUCGAGACCAGUGCAUUUUUUAUGUUCAUAUAAAAACCACGUAACAAUAAUAAUAAAAUGCAAUGUUGACGGGCAUUAUUUGAAAAUGAAAUCCCAUGGUGAAAUGCAAAGAUAUUGCCAUCAGAGCCGUUUAUUUAUCUCUAGGGAAAUAGGAAGAAAAUGAUGCAUAUGGUAGGGAUUUUUUAAUGAGAGUAAUAGCAUAGUCCAUAUUAAGACAUUAAGAGUGCUCCUCUAAACCAGCGGUUCUCAAAUUGGUGCCAGGGGGGCCCCGGAUUUUAUAAGAUAAAUAAAUUUAUCAUGAAUUCUGUGUACUUAAAUCUCAGAAACAUACUGCUAGUAACCAAUAGCACUACAGUGAAUAACUUAAUAU